rnacentral:rRNA from 1 species
UUGCUUCUUGGGUGACGAGCGGCGGACGGGUGAGUAAUGCAUAGGAAUCUGCCCGAUAGUGGGGGAUAACCUGGGGAAACCCAGGCUAAUACCGCAUACGUCCUACGGGAGAAAGGGGGCUCCGGCUCCCGCUAUGGGAUGAGCCUAUGUCGGAUUAGCUAGUUGGUGAGGUAACGGCUCACCAAGGCAACGAUCCGUAGCUGGUCUGAGAGGAUGAUCAGCCACAUCGGGACUGAGACACGGCCCGAACUCCUACGGGAGGCAGCAGUGGGGAAUAUUGGACAAUGGGCGCAAGCCUGAUCCAGCCAUGCCGCGUGUGUGAAGAAGGCCCUCGGGUUGUAAAGCACUUUCAGCGAGGAAGAACGCCUAGCGGUUAAUACCCGCUAGGAAAGACAUCACUCGCAGAAGAAGCACCGGCUAACUCCGUGCCAGCAGCCGCGGUAAUACGGAGGGUGCAAGCGUUAAUCGGAAUUACUGGGCGUAAAGCGCGCGUAGGUGGCUUGAUAAGCCGGUUGUGAAAGCCCCGGGCUCAACCUGGGAACGGCAUCCGGAACUGUCAAGCUAGAGUGCAGGAGAGGAAGGUAGAAUUCCCGGUGUAGC